UACGUAGGGUGCGAGCGUUGCCCGGAUUUAUUGGGCGUAAAGGGCGCGUAGGCGGCUCGGCACGUCCGUUGUGAAAUCGCCCGGCUCAACUGGGCGGGGUCAGCGGAUACGGUCGAGCUUGAGCAAGCUAGGGGGUAAUGGAAUUCCCGGUGUAGUGGUGGAAUGCGUAGAUAUCGGGAGGAACACCAGCGGCGAAGGCGGCGCUCUGGGCCGGUACUGACGCUGAGGAGCGAAAGCGUGGGGAGCAAACAGG
rnacentral:rRNA from 1 species